UACGUAGGCCGCAAGCGUUGUUCGGAGUUACUGGGCGUAAAGGGUGUGUAGGCGGCUUCGUAAGUUCGGUGUGAAAUCUCCUGGCUCAACUGGGAGGGUGCGCCGAAAACUGCGGAGCUGGAGCGCAGGAGAGGAAAGCAGAAUUCCUGGUGUAGCGGUGAAAUGCGUAGAUAUUCGGAAGAACACCAGUGGCGAAGGCGGCUCACUGGACCGGUAUUGACGCUGAGGUGCGAAAGCGUGGGGAGCAAACAGG
rnacentral:rRNA from 1 species